CAACUGUGUGAAUUAAUGUGAACUGCAUACUGCUUGCACAUCGACAUCUUGAACGCAUAUUGCGGCUACGGGAUAUCCUGUGGCCACGUCUGUCCGAGGGUCGG
rnacentral:rRNA from 1 species